rnacentral:rRNA from 1 species
CCUACGGGAGGCAGCAGUAGGGAAUAUUGCUCAAUGGGGGAAACCCUGAAGCAGCAACGCCGCGUGAAGGAUGAAGGUUUUCGGAUUGUAAACUCCUUUUGUUAGAGAAGAUAAUGACGGUAUCUAACGAAUAAGCACCGGCUAACUCCGUGCCAGCAGCCGCGGUAAUACGGAGGGUGCAAGCGUUACGCGGAAUUACUGGGCGUAAAGAGCGCGUAGGCGGGAUAGCAAGUCAGAUGUGAAAUCCUAUGGCUUAACCAUAGAACUGCUUUUGAAACUGUUAUUAUAGAGUGUGGGAGAGGUAAGUGGAAUUCUUGGUGUAGGGGUAAAAUCCGUAGAGAUCAAGAGGAAUACUCAUUGCGAAGGCGACCUGCUAGAACAUAACUGACGCUGAUGCGCGAAAGCGUGGGGAGCAAACAGGAUUAGAUACCCGUGUAGUC